GUGGGGAAUAUUGGACAAUGGGGGGAACCCUGAUCCAGCCAUGCCGCGUGUGUGAAGAAGGCCUUUUGGUUGUAAAGCACUUUAAGCGAGGAGGAGGCUACCGAGAUUAAUACUCUUGGAUAGUGGACGUUACUCGCAGAAUAAGCACCGGCUAACUCUGUGCCAGCAGCCGCGGUAAUACAGAGGGUGCAAGCGUUAAUCGGAUUUACUGGGCGUAAAGCGCGCGUAGGUGGCCAAUUAAGUCAAAUGUGAAAUCCCCGAGCUUAACUUGGGAAUUGCAUUCGAUACUGGUUGGCUAGAGUAUGGGAGAGGAUGGUAGAAUUCCAGGUGUAGCGGUGAAAUGCGUAGAGAUCUGGAGGAAUACCGAUGGCGAAGGCAGCCAUCUGGCCUAAUACUGACACUGAGGUGCGAAAGCAUGGGGAGCAAACAGGAUUAGAAACCCCUGUAGUCC
rnacentral:rRNA from 1 species